rnacentral:lncRNA from 1 species
CAGCAGCGUUUGGUGGCUGGAGUUUGUCCUUGGUGAGCCAGGACCUGGAGGGAUGGAGAUGUGGGAAUGAGCCCCCACCAUCCUGCCCCUGCUGGUUUUGCGAUGGGAAGGGAGAAAUCAGCCCUGCCAUUCCACAUUUCUGUCCUGUGUGCUGGGAGAGUUGGAGCCCAAGGGGACACCUCUGGCCCUGGGACCACAUCUGAGCCUGCAGCUUGGGAAGCAGCCUGGGGCUGUGUCCAGAG